UGGGGAAUAUUGCACAAUGGGCGCAAGCCUGAUGCAGCCAUGCCGCGUGUGUGAAGAAGGCCUUCGGGUUGUAAAGCACUUUCAGCGGGGAGGAAGGCGUUAAGGUUAAUAACCUUGGCGAUUGACGUUACCCGCAGAAGAAGCACCGGCUAACUCCGUGCCAGCAGCCGCGGUAAUACGGAGGGUGCAAGCGUUAAUCGGAAUUACUGGGCGUAAAGCGCACGCAGGCGGUCUGUCAAGUCGGAUGUGAAAUCCCCGGGCUCAACCUGGGAACUGCAUUCGAAACUGGCAGGCUAGAGUCUUGUAGAGGGGGGUAGAAUUCCAGGUGUAGCGGUGAAAUGCGUAGAGAUCUGGAGGAAUACCGGUGGCGAAGGCGGCCCCCUGGGCAAAGACUGACGCUCAGGUGCGAAAGCGUGGGGAGCAAACAGG
rnacentral:rRNA from 1 species